CUGGGGAACAUCAGUGUUUCUGUCUUGUAGCAGCUCUUCUCACUCGGACCCCCAAGAGCCCACCUACCACAACGUGCCAGCCUGGCUAGAAAUGCAGCCAGUGUACAGCAAUGUAAAUCCUAAAGGAGGAGACGUGGUGUACUCGGAAGUCUGCCACGUCCAGGGCAGAAACAAACGCGCCGCGGCCCCCACAGCCAGGCUGCCCGAGGACAAGGAUUCCUCUGUCAUCUACUCCCAGGUGAAGGUCUACACCCCAGGCUCCAGGUCCCAGCUCUCAGCCUCCUCGGCUCCUCACAGAUGAGUCCACACCGCUCCCCGACUGCU